AACGAACGCUGGCGGCAGGCCUAACACAUGCAAGUCGAACGCCGUAGCAAUACGGAGUGGCAGACGGGUGAGUAACGCGUGGGAACCUUCCCAAUGGUACGGAAUAGCUCAGGGAAACUUGUGGUAAUACCGUAUAAGCCCGAAAGGGGAAAGAUUUAUCGCCAUUGGAUGGGCCCGCGUAGGAUUAGCUAGUUGGUGAGGUAAUGGCUCACCAAGGCGACGAUCCUUAGCUGGUCUGAGAGGACGACCAGCCACACUGGGACUGAGACACGGCCCAGACGCCUACGGGAGGCAGCAGUGGGGAAUAUUGGACAAUGGGCGAAAGCCUGAUCCAGCCAUGCCGCGUGAGUGAUGAAGGCCUUAGGGUUGUAAUGCUCUUUUGGCGGGGAAGAUAAUGACGGUACCCGCAGAAUAAGCCCCGGCUAACUUCG
rnacentral:rRNA from 1 species